GGGUUUGUGGCUCAGUGGUGAAGUGCUUGCCUAGCAUGCAUGAGGCACUGGGUUCGAUUCUCAGCACCA
rnacentral:tRNA from 1 species